UACGUAGGGUGCGAGCGUUAAUCGGAAUUACUGGGCGUAAAGCGUGCGCAGGCGGCGCGUUUAAGACAGGUGUGAAAGCCCCGAGCUUAACUUGGGAAUUGCGCUUGUGACUGGCGUGCUGGAGUGUGGCAGAGGGAGGUGGAAUUCCACGUGUAGCAGUGAAAUGCGUAGAGAUGUGGAGGAACACCGAUGGCGAAGGCAGCCUC
rnacentral:rRNA from 1 species